rnacentral:rRNA from 1 species
UACGAAGGGGGCUAGCGUUGCUCGGAAUCACUGGGCGUAAAGCGCACGUAGGCGGGUUGCUAAGUCAGGGGUGAAAUCCUGGAGCUCAACUCCAGAACUGCCUUUGAUACUGGCGAUCUCGAGUCCGGGAGAGGUGAGUGGAACUGCGAGUGUAGAGGUGAAAUUCGUAGAUAUUCGCAAGAACACCAGUGGCGAAGGCGGCUCACUGGCCCGGUACUGACGCUGAGGUGCGAAAGCUAGGGGAGCGAACGGG